GAGAGCGGGGCGGGCUGGUGAGGGGGCUUGCUCCUGCCUCUUCACCAAGGACCUCUGUAAAGGUCCUUGUGAAGACUGGCAUCUUUACUGGACCCCCGACGCGGAUACAGAGAGCCCGGAAGGGAGAGGAACAGAAAGAAGUCGUUAAGGUUGCAAAGACUAGGUUGUAUGAAGUUGUGCCCAAGCCAUCACUGAAAACAUUCCAUUUUACUCUUCUGCUUUCAAGAAGUGUAACAGCAAUAUCCAGAUGUUGAUGCUACUGAACAUGCCACUCAGCAGCUAAGAACUUCUGUUCCAGGUAUUUCGAUGCACUAUGUGUGAGGUGCUAUGAAGACCUUUAACAACUCAGGAUGCAGGAGACCUUAGCCAGGUAUAGUUGAUCAUUUUCCCUUCUUUUAUCUUUGCUACACAAUAUCUUAGUAAUCUCAAGUGAAGAUAAGAACUCAACUCCCCUCCCAGUUAAUUCAAAGAAGAUCUGGA